UGCCUGGAAUGGUUUAUGGUUGAAAUGAUUCGUCGCCGUAGGAUGGGACUGCGGCCUAUCAGCUUGUUGGUGAGGUAAUGGCCCACCAAGGCGAUUACAGGUACGGGCUCUGAGAGGAGAAGCCCGGAGAUGGGUACUGAGACAAGGACCCAGGCCCUAUGGGGCGCAGCAGGCGAGAAAACUUUGCAAUGUGCGAAAGCACAACAAGGUUAAUCCGAGUGAUUUCUGCUAAAGAAAUCUUUUGCAAGUCAUAAAACCACUUGUGAAUAAGGGGUGGGCCAGUUCUGGUGUCAGCCGCCGCGGUAAAACCGGCACCUCAAGUGGUCAGGAGGAUUAUUGGGCCUAAAGCAUCCGUAGCCGGCUCUGUAAGUUUUCGGUUAAAUCCAUGUGCUCAACACAUGGGCUGCCUAAAAUACUGCCUACCUCGGGAGUGAGAGAGGUAGACGGUACUCGAUAGGAAGGGGUAAAAUCCUUUGAUCUAUCGAUGACCACCUGUGGCGAAGGCGGUCUACCAGAACACGUUCGACGGUUAGGGAUGAAAGCUGGGAGAGCAAACCCGAUUAAAAACCCCGGUUAGUCCCAGCUGUAAACGAUGCAUACUCUAUGAUGCAUUGGCAUAUAGCCAGUGCAGUGCCGCAGGGAAGCCCUUAAGUCUGCCCCUGGGAAGUACGUACGCAAGUAUAAAACUUAAAGGAAUGACGUCG
rnacentral:rRNA from 1 species